UACGGGGGGGGCAAGCGUUGUUCGGAAUUACUGGGCGUAAAGGGUGCGUAGGCGGUUCGCUAAGUUGGAUGUGAAAACUCUGGGCUUAACCCAGAGCCUGCAUCCAAUACUGACGAGCUAGAGUUCUGGAGGGGGUAGCGGAAUUCCUGGUGUAGCGGUGAAAUGCGUAGAUAUCUGGAGGAACACCGGUGGCGAAGGCGGCAUCCUGGACCAACACUGACGCUGAGGAGCGAAAGCCAGGGGAGCAAACGGG
rnacentral:rRNA from 1 species